CGGGCUUUCACUUUAUAUUUC
rnacentral:snRNA from 1 species